UGAGGUUAAGUUAACAAGGGCGCAUGGUGAAUGCCUUGGCACUAGGAGCCGAUGAAGGACGGGACUAACACCGAUAUGCUUCGGGGAGCUGUACGUAAGCUAUGAUCCGGAGAUUUCCGAAUGGGGCAACCCAGCAGUUUUAAUCAACUGUUACCACUAGAUGAAUUCAUAGUCUAGUUGGAGGUAAACGCUGUGAACUGAAACAUCUCAUUAGCAGCAGGAAUAUAAAGAAAUUUCGAUUCCCUAAGUAGCGGCGAGCGAACGGGGAACAGCCCAAACCAAAGUGCUUGCACUUUGGGGUUGUAGGACUGAACAUUUGAGUUACCAAAGAACUUGAUAGUCGAAGGAUUUGGGAAAAUCCGCCAUAGAUGGUGAUAGCCCAGUAGAUUAAAUCAAAUUCUCUCAGUUCAGGAUCCUGAGUACGGCGGAACACGUGAAAUUCCGUCGGAAUCCGGGAGGACCAUCUCCCAAGGCUAAAUACUACCUAGUGACCGAUAGUGAACCAGUACCGUGAGGGAAAGGUGAAAAGCACCCCGGGAGGGGAGUGAAAUAGUUCCUGAAACCAUGUGCCUACAAUAAGUCAGAGCGCGUUAAUGCGUGAUGGCGUGCCUUUUGUAGAAUGAACCGGCGAGUUAUGAUCCCGUGCAAGGUUAAGACUAAAAAGUCGGAGCCGUAGCGAAAGCGAGUCUGAAAUGGGCGUUUUGAGUACGAGAUUAUAGACCCGAAACCAGGUGACCUAUCCAUGUCCAGGUUGAAGGUGCGGUAAAACGCACUGGAGGACCGAACCCGUGUAAGUUGAAAAUUGCUGGGAUGAGGUGUGGAUAGCGGUGAAAUUCCAAACGAACUUGGAGAUAGCUGGUUCUCUCCGAAAUAGCUUUAGGGCUAGCCUCGGAAUUAGGAUCAUGGAGGUAGAGCACUAUUUGGACUAGGGGCCCGUCUUGGGUUACUGAAUUCAGAUAAACUCCGAAUGCCAUUGAUUCAUAUCCGGGAGUCAGACGAUGAGUGAUAAGAUCCACCGUCGAAAGGGGAACAGCCCAGACCAUCAGUUAAGGUCCCUAAAUGUAUGCUAAGUGGAAAAGGAUGUGGAGUUGCAUAGACAACUAGGAUGUUGGCUCAGAAGCAGCCACCAUUUAAAGAGUGCGUAAUAGCUCACUAGUCGAGUGAUCCUGCGCCGAAAAUGUACCGGGGCUAAGCAUACUACCGAAACCAUGGAUGCGACUAUUAGGUCGCGUGAUAGGAGAGCGUUCUAAGGGCGGUGAAGCAAGAUCGUGAGGACUUGUGGAGCGCUUAGAAGUGAGAAUGCCGGUAUGAGUAGCGAAAGAUAGGUGAGAAUCCUAUCCACCGAAUGACUAAGGUUUCCUGGGGAAGGCUCGUCCUCCCAGGGUUAGUCGGGACCUAAGUCGAGGCCGAGAGGCGUAGACGAUGGAUAACAGGUUGAGAUUCCUGUACUAGUUAAGUGCGUUUGAGCAAUGGAGGGACGCAGGAGGCUAAGAUGUGCAUUCUGUUGGAUUAGAAUGUCCAAGCAGUAAGUCUUGUGAAGAGUCAAAUGCUUUUCACUUUAAGGACAAGCUGUGAUGGGGAGCGAAAUUUAGUAGCGAAGCGUCUGAUGUCACACUGCCGAGAAAAGCUUCUAGUGAGUACUUAACUACCCGUACCGUAAACCGACACAGGUAGUCGAGGAGAGAAUCCUAAGGUGAGCGAGUGAACUCUCGUUAAGGAACUCGGCAAAAUGACCCCGUAACUUCGGGAGAAGGGGUGCUGAUCGCAAGAUCAGCCGCAGUGAAUAGGCCCAGGCGACUGUUUAUCAAAAACACAGGUCUCUGCAAAAUCGUAAGAUGACGUAUAGGGGCUGACGCCUGCCCGGUGCUGGAAGGUUAAAAGGAUGGGUUAGCUUCGGCGAAGCUCAGAAUUGAAGCCCCAGUAAACGGCGGCCGUAACUAUAACGGUCCUAAGGUAGCGAAAUUCCUUGUCGGGUAAGUUCCGACCCGCACGAAAGGCGUAACGAUCUGGGCACUGUCUCAACGAGAGACUCGGUGAAAUUAUAUUGUCCGUGAAGAUGCGGACUACCCGCGACAGGACGGAAAGACCCCAUGGAGCUUUACUGUAGCUUGAUAUUGAGUGUUUGUACAGCUUGU
rnacentral:rRNA from 2 species